rnacentral:lncRNA from 1 species
CCUUCUCUUUCUGGCACCCUUUCUGUGGCAGUGUCCUGUCCCAGACCUUGAGCUUUGGAAUAGAAAAUACAGUUUAUCCUACAUUGUUUAAGAAAUGCUGAAUAAGUAACUGCUUGUGUGUUGGACAAAGAAGGGCAAACUAGAAGUGCCCCUAAUAAGGACAUUAUUCUCUCAAUGAAAAAUUUUUAAAAUGAAAUUAUUAUAUAAUUUUUACAGACUCACAGAAUGGUUUAGGUUGGAAAGGACCUCUGGAAGUCAUCUGGUCCAAACUCCUGCUCAAGCAUGGCCACCCAGCAGGCUACCCAGGAUCAUGUCCAAAGUAUAUACUCUUAUGUUUGGAUGUUCAGUAAGGAAAUCUCAGGCUUAAGAAGAGUAUUGUGACAAAGAUGUAGUUCAGCACUUUUCCAGUAACAAAGGAAACAUGAGCAGUACACACAUAUCAGAUACUUCAGUCUCGUGAGAAGCGGUUUCUGCACGGUUUCCUGGACAGGAUCAAGAACCACUGGAAAUAUUCAGAUAAUUUACUGGAAAUCAUGAAAGCAGACUGUCUGGCAGGUUCUGUUUUGAAUAAACUUUGGAUUGAAAGUGAACUUUUUGGGUGGUGACAUGCUCUUCUGACAACCAGCUCUGUGGCCACUGUCACAUCCCACCAGGACGCUGAAACCGAGUCACUGUGAGG